rnacentral:rRNA from 1 species
GACGAACGCUGGCGGCGUGCUUAACACAUGCAAGUCGAACGGCAAGGCCCUGCUUUUGUGGGGUGCUCGAGUGGCGAACGGGUGAGUAACACGUGGGUAACCUGCCCUUGACUUUGGGAUAACUUCAGGAAACUGGGUCUAAUACCGGAUAGGAGCUCCUGCUGCAUGGUGGGGGUUGGAACGUUUCGGCGGUUGGGGGUGGACUCGCGGCUUAUCAGCUUGGUGGUGGGGUAGUGGCUUACCAAGGCUUUGACGGGUAGCCGGCCUGAGAGGGUGACCGGCGACAUUGGGACUGAGAUACGGCCGAGACUCCUACGGGAGGCAGAAGUGGGGAAGCUUGCACAAUGGGCGGAAGCCUGAUGAAGCAACGCCGCGGGCGGGAUGACGGCCUUCGGGUUAUAAACCGCUUUCGCCUGUGACGAAGCGUGAGUUACGGUAAUGGGUAGAGAAGCACCGGCUAACUACGUG